rnacentral:rRNA from 1 species
GAUGUACGCUGGCGGCGUGCCUAAUACAUGAAAGUCGAGCGAACGGACGAGAAGCUUGCUUCUCUGAUGUUAGCGGCGGACGGGUGAGUAACACGUGGAUAACCUACCUAUAAGACUGGGAUAACUUCGGGAAACCGGAGCUAAUACCGGAUAAUAUUUUGAACCGCAUGGUUCAAAAGUGAAAGACGGUCUUGCUGUCACUUAUAGGUGGAUCCGCGCUGCAUUAGCUAGUUGGUAAGGUAACGGCUUACCAAGGCAACGAUGCAUAGCCGACCUGAGAGGGUGAUCGGCCACACUGGAACUGAGACACGGUCCAGACUCCUACGGGAGGCAGCAGUAGGGAAUCUUCCGCAAUGGGCGAAAGCCUGACGGAGCAACGCCGCGUGAGUGAUGAAGGUCUUCGGAUCGUAAAACUCUGUUAUUAGGGAAGAACAUAUGUGUAAGUAACUGUGCACAUCUUGACGGUACCUAAUCAGAAAGCCACGGCUAACUACGUG